AAUAUGCGGGGAGCCAGCGGUGCCCUGAACUUGCAAUCCGCUAUAGCAAGGCAGAAUGCCGCUCGAGGCCUCGUGGGAUGAAGGCAGUCCCGGAUAAGGAACAGGGAUCUUAAGGUCCCAUGCAACAGACGACUUUGAACCGUGUCAGGGCAGGAAUGCAGCAGCACUAAGGAGAUCCGGCUGUGUGCCAUGGGGUUACUUUAAGGGAGUCACCUACCCGGCA
rnacentral:SRP_RNA from 1 species